rnacentral:rRNA from 1 species
ACAUGUGUUUUUUAUUGAACAAAUUUCUUUGGUGGCGGGAGCAAUCCUACCGCCAGAGGUUAUAACUAAACCAAACUUUUUAUUUACAGUCAAACUUGAUUUAUUAUUACAAUAGUCAAAACUUUCAACAACGGAUCUCUUGGUUCUCGCAUCGAUGAAGAACGCAGCGAAAUGCGAUACGUAAUAUGAAUUGCAGAUAUUCGUGAAUCAUCGAAUCUUUGAACGCACAUUGCGCCCUUUGGUAUUCCAAAGGGCAUGCCUGUUUGAGCGUCAUUUCUCCCUCAAACCCCCGGGUUUGGUGUUGAGCAAUACGCUAGGUUUGUUUGAAAGAAUUUAACGUGGAAACUUAUUUUAAGCGACUUAGGUUUAUCCAAAAACGCUUAUUUUGCUAGUGGCCACCACAAUUUAUUUCAUAACUUUGACCUCAAAUCAGGUAGGACUACCCGCUGAACUUAAGCAUA